GAUGAACGCUGGCGGCGUGCCUAAUACAUGCAAGUCGAGCGAACAGAUAAGGAGCUUGCUCCUUUGAAGUUAGCGGCGGACGGGUGAGUAACACGUGGGUAACCUACCUAUAAGACUGGGAUAACUUCGGGAAACCGGAGCUAAUACCGGAUAACAUUUAGAACCGCAUGGUUCUAAAGUGAAAGAUGGUUUUGCUAUCACUUAUAGAUGGACCCGCGCCGUAUUAGCUAGUUGGUAAGGUAACGGCUUACCAAGGCGACGAUGCGUAGCCGACCUGAGAGGGUGAUCGGCCACACUGGAACUGAGACACGGUCCAGACUCCUACGGGAGGCAGCAGUAGGGAAUCUUCCGCAAUGGGCGAAAGCCUGACGGAGCAACGCCGCGUGAGUGAUGAAGGGUUUCGGCUCGUAAAACUCUGUUAUUAGGGAAGAACAAAUGUGUAAGUAACUGUGCACAUCUUGACGGUACCUAAUCAGAAAGCCACGGCUAACUACGUG
rnacentral:rRNA from 1 species